rnacentral:rRNA from 1 species
CCUACGGGUGGCAGCAGUGAGGAAUAUUGGUCAAUGGGCGGGAGCCUGAACCAGCCAAGUCGCGUGAGGGCAGACGGUCCUAUGGAUUGUAAACCUCUUUAGGCGGGGAGCAAUGCCGGGCACGCGUGCCCGGAGGGAGAGUACCCGCAGAAUCAGCAUCGUCUAACUCCGUGCCAGCAGCCGCGGUAAUCCGGGGGAUGCGAGCGUUAUCCGGAUUUAUUGGGUUUCAAGGGUGCGUAGGCGGAUGUUUAAGUCAGCGGGAAACGGUCCGGGCUCAACCCGGGCCGGCCGUUGAAACUGGGGAUCUUGAGUGGGCGAGAAGGAUGCGGAAUGCGUGGUGUAGCGGUGAAAGGCAUAGAUAUCACGCAGAACUCCGAUUGCGAAGGCAGCAUACCGGCGCCCGACUGACGCUGAGGCACGAAAGCGUGGGGAUCGAACAGGAUUAGAUACCCGUGUAGUC